UACGUAGGGGGCAAGCGUUGUCCGGAAUCAUUGGGCGUAAAGAGCGUGUAGGCGGCCCGGUAAGUCCGCUGUGAAAGUCCAGGGCUCAACCCUGGGAUGCCGGUGGAUACUGUCGGGCUCGAGUCCGGAAGAGGAGUGUGGAAUCCUGGUGUAGCGGUGAAAUGCGCAGAUAUCAGGAGGAACACCAAUGGCGAAAGGCAGCACUCUGGGACGUGACUGACGCUGAGACGCGAAAGCGUGGGGAGCGAACAGG
rnacentral:rRNA from 1 species